rnacentral:misc_RNA from 1 species
CCAUCCUUCAGUUGCAAAACCAGUGAAUCCUCAUUCCAACUAAAAAUCCAUCCCUUAUUAUCAGGUUGUCUCACUGCUUUCAAAGGAAGCUGGUUUGAAACAAUAAUCAUCCUGUCUGUAGAAACUAUUGAGGGGUUGUCAGAUGACGCACUAAGUUCCCUAUCAUCAUUAAGCUCAGAGACAUUCCCUGGAACGCUCAUUACCCUCGGAAGCCGCAUCUGCUCUCUAGAUAUUUUUGGGAAAUUCCCUGCUGCCAAGUCUAAUAAAUUGGUGCAUGAUCUUGACAUCAUCUUUGUUACUUCUAAUUACAAAAAAAAAUUCUUCCUGACAGU